AUAAGCGCAGAAAAAGCAGAUAAGGAAGGAACAUGACAUUCGCAUAUUUUUGUGACAUUAUUUGCACUUCUUCUGAGCCUCGGGUGUCAAAGUCAAAACCCCUGGGGGCCGCUGCAUUUUAUCUGGCCUGCAAACAUGUACCUCGCUGUCACGGCGCGGAUUCGAACUCUCUUCCCUAAGCAACUGAGUGUCACAGUUCAUCCUCUGGCUGCUCGCCCUUACACGCCCCCCGCUCACGCUGAGCGCAGCACACCCACGCAGCGAAAAGCCAGCAGAUAAUCGUCAAUCUGCACACCUGGGAAUGAUGACGGCGAGCUGGAUAAAGGAACAUUGGACCCAAGAAUCCAUGCGUGAACUUAGUUUACCUUUUUGGAUACCUUCGCUUGGUGUACCAUCCUUCCUGAGUCUUAACCAUUGUGCUCCCUUGUGAUUUGGACUGCCUUCCUCGAUCCCCAAUUUGGACUCUGAUCUCUUGACGUCUCUCUCGUGCCCUGGAUCAUCUUCUGUCUUCCUUUCUUGUUCCCUCUCCUCGUUUCAACAUCACGCACAGUGACAAGGCCAUUUGUAGGCCACGACACCCCAAACACUGCACCGCCGCGUUUUGUGCGAGAGUGACAGACAGCUGGCCUCCGGGGGAGGCGGGAGCUGGAAAUGUUGCUGACACAAACAUGACUGGAAGACGAAAAAAGCGGAGGCUUGGUUGGGAAGACGGAGUCAGAGUUUUACCAAAGAAAGUCUUUCUCAGAAUCCUUUCUCAUAUGUUGUUUGUGUAAUAUUUGAUCAUUACUUCCUGUUUGUCUUUUACCUUUACCUUCUCUCCCUUGUCCUGCCAGCACACCUGUUCCUCAUCGUUAAUUAGUUCCAGUUACUUCUACCUCGUCCCUUCCUUCAGAGCCGGUUUGUUAUCUGGUGUUGCUUUCCAAGACCCGUGUCACUCGUCUUCUGUCCGGUCCCGCACUAAACAACCGUCUGCCUGCACGCCGUCUACUUUCUCUGCAUCCUGGGGUCGUGCCAACAGCAUGGUCACAAUGCAAGUGGUAUCCUGUUAUCCUGCAGGCGGAGAGCUCAGAUACACAAUUUUGGGGAGUGUUUGGUGUCAGUCUGGGCUUAUUUGGGCGUCCUCAGACAAUGAGCGAGAGACGUCCAGCCCGGCUGUCUCAACAACUUCCUGUGCCGCCGCAGUCAGGAUGGAGACAGUCAGGGACGCCUUUAUUUUCAGAACACCGAAAAAGUUGAGGCCGUAAAGAAAAAAGGUGACAGGAAGUGAGGUGCUAUUUCCUGUCACUGAACAUUUCUGCUAAAGUCAACUUAGACACAGAAAAGUUGAUGGAAACUAUGAAGCAAAAACGCUAAAACAUGCGUCAAAGAAACAUUUCACUUCCCUUUAUUUCCACUUUGCUUCCCCUUUUUUUGUUUUAUUUAAAUAGACCUACCUAUGAGUCUCAAGCGUGGGGGUGUCCAAACUUCUUCCAGCAAAGUCUGCAUACUGAAAAGUAUUUUUUGAUAUGAUGUGUGAAUUAAAAAUACUAAAAACAAACAAAUACACACACAAAAUUCAUAUAUAUAUAC